UUACGGCCAAAUCACGCUGAAACACCGGUUCUCGUUCGAUCACCGAAGUUAAGCAUCGUAGAGCCAGGUCAGUACUUAGAUGGGGGACCGCUUGGGAACACCUGGUACUGUAAG
rnacentral:rRNA from 1 species